rnacentral:rRNA from 1 species
UACGUAGGGGGCAAGCGUUGUCCGGAAUCACUGGGCGUAAAGCGCGCGCAGGCGGUCAUCUACGUCUGGGGUGAAAGCCCGGAGCUCAACUCCGGGAUUGCCUUGGAUACGGGAUGACUUGAGGAUCGGAGAGGCAAGGGGAAUUCCACGUGUAGCGGUGAAAUGCGUAGAUAUCUGGAGGAACACCGGUGGCGAAGGCGGCAUCCUGGACCAUUACUGACACUGAAAAGCGAAAGCCAGGGGAGCAAACGGG